UGGAGGACCAAACCUUAAAUUGCAGUAGUUCUUGAAAAUAUCCCAUGUCAACCUUGGUUCCUCCUGUUCCAUUUUAUGGAACCAGAGUUUUGCUUCUCUCAUCGUAUGGAAUGCUGUGACGUUCACUUUAUCUGUUUCUGGCGGCUGUUGAUUUGAAAAAAUUGUUUACAUAGGUGUAACCAAAUCAGCGGAUCUUUGGAUCCAUCCAACAUUGAAAAAUCCAGCUUCCUAUACCGUGGCACUAUCCCUGUUCUUGGUUG
rnacentral:misc_RNA from 1 species